UUAUAAGAGACAGCAGUAGCCACGGUAAUACAGAGGGUGCAAGCGUUAAUCGGAAUUACUGGGCGUAAAGCGCGCGUAGGUGGUUUGUUAAGUUGGAUGUGAAAGCCCCGGGCUCAACCUGGGAACUGCAUCCAAAACUGGCAAGCUAGAGUACGGUAGAGGGUGGUGGAAUUUCCUGUGUAGCGGUGAAAUGCGUAGAUAUAGGAAGGAACACCAGUGGCGAAGGCGACCACCUGGACUGAUACUGACACUGAGGUGCGAAAGCGUGGGGAGCAAACAGGAUUAGAUACCCCCGUAGUCCCUGUCUCUUAUAC
rnacentral:rRNA from 1 species